rnacentral:rRNA from 1 species
CGUCUAUAUACGUAUAGCAUAUCAAUAAGCGGAGGAAAAGAAACUAACUAGGAUUCCCUCAGUAACGGCGAGUGAAGCGGGAAGAGCUCAAAUUUGAAAUCUUCAAGGUUCUACCUUGACGAAUUGUAGUUUAAAGAAGUGUUUUCUGUUGGAGUUUUGGUAAAAGUUCUUUGGAAUAGGACAUCAUAGAGGGUGAGAAUCCCGUAUUUGACCAUUAUUUCCAGCUUUGUGAUACACUUUCAAAGAGUCGGAUUGUUUGGGAAUGCAGUCCAAAAUGGGUGGUAAAUUUCAUCUAAAGCUAAAUACUGGCGAGAGACCGAUAGCGAACAAGUACCGUGAGGGAAAGAUGAAAAGAACUUUGAAAAGAGAGUUAAACAGUACGUGAAAUUGUCAAAAGGGAAGCGUUUGACACCAGUGUUGUUUUCUCGAAAAUCAAUUAAAAAAGAUUGGAUUUUGUGUUGUAUUGACUUUAUCAGCUUUCUGCACUCUUUUCUUGUCUUUUUUAAUGCACUUUUCGUUUAACAAGUCAACAUCAAUUUCUUUUGUUGUAAAAGGGUCAUUGGAAGGUGGCUUUCUUUUCGGAGAAAGUGUUUAUAGCCUUUGACUUCUGCAAUCGGAGAGAUUGAGGUCUGCAGCGUAGAUCCUUCGGGGUUAGAUGCAUUUGUGCUAAGUUAUAGCCUUUCAUAGACAACUUGUUGACUAUGAUCAGUCAUGUAGCUUACUCGCUUAUGCUAUUUUACCUACGCUUAGGAUGUUGACGAUCAGCUGAGCGCG